rnacentral:misc_RNA from 1 species
GCAAACUUGGUCAUUUAGAGGAAGUAAAAGUCGUAACAAGGUCUCCGUUGGUGAACCAGCGGAGGGAUCAUUACAGAGUUGUAAAACUCCCAAACCCAUGUGAACAUACCUGUUGCCUCGGCGGCCUACCCGGCAGCUACCCUGUAGCUACCCUGUAGUCCGCCGGCGGAAUUCAAAACUCUUGUUUUCAUUAUCAUUUCUGAGAAUAAAACAAAUAAAUCAAAACUUUCAACAACGGAUCUCUUGGUUCUGGCAUCGAUGAAGAACGCAGC